CUCGCGCGCAUCAACAGCGCGAGCCUCCUGCAGACAUAGCAAGAAAGAUGGCGGCCGGUUCAGGGGCUGCAAGCGGACACGGAGCCCGCGGCUCCAACGCUGGCCUGGAAGCGUCUUUAGACCGACGGUUUCAAGGAGUAUCCAACACCAUGGAGUCGAUACAGGGACUAUCCAACUGGUGCAUUGAAAACAAAAAGCACCACGGCCUCGUCGUGCGCCACUGGAUGAAGUGGCUAAAAAAAUCUGAUAACAAUCACCGCUUGAAUCUCUUUUACCUGGCUAACGAUGUGAUACAGAACUGCAAGAGAAAGAAUGCCAUUGUCUUUCGCUCAGCCUUUGCAGAAGUCCUUCCUAAUGCGGCCCAGUUUAUCAGAGACGGGAAAGUCCGCAAGGCAGUGGAAAGGAUUUUUACAAUUUGGGAGGAGAGGAGCGUGUACCCCGAAGAGGUCAUUGCUCAGUUUAAAGCUGGCUUCAACAAAAAGGAAAAGGAGAGAGAGAAGCAGAAGCUGAAGCAGAAGGAGAGGGAGAAAGAGAAGGAGAAGGAGAAGGAACGGGAGAAGGAGAAGGAGAAGGAACGGGAGAAGGAAAAGGAGAAAGAAAAGGAGACUCCACCGGCAACUGCCCCAGCCAACACUAAAGCUGCCCUGAAGUCCAAGAUUGUAGCAGAGUUCACACCCCACUCCCUCAUCGAGCAGUUGUCGAGAUAUAAGCGAGCAGUCGCAGAAGAGGAGUUCAGGGAGAAGCAGCUGGCCGCUCUCAGAGUCGAUGUCUGCAGCACGGAGGCUCUGAAGAGACUUAAAGACAAGGCCGGAGGGAACAAGUUUGCGAAGGACUUUGAGGAUGGCAGUCUGAAGCUGCAGGAGUUUGUCGUCUUCAUGGAGAAAGAGUUGAAGACGGGGCCUCCUCUGCUGGAAGCUUUGGGAAACGCUGACAUCUUCUACGAGAUGCAGUACAAGGAGGUUAAAAUUGUGGCCAAUGCGUACAAUGCCUUUGCCAACCGUGUGGCCAGCCUUAAAAGGAAAUUGGAUUCCCUCAAGUCGACUCUACCUGGACCUGAGGACUCUCCCAUCCCCUCACCCUCCGAAGACGCCCCCUCUCCCACCGGCUCUGACUCACCCUACUUGGGACUAGGCUUGAGCAGAGCCCAGGUGGAUCCAGAGCUGGAUGGCAAGGCUAUGGAUGAAGGAGAUAUGCCCAGUGACAACAGACACAUGGAGGACAUGGAUAUGUCUGAUGAAGAGGCUGGCGCUGCCACCGAGCAGCAGGAUGACAAGAAGGACAAGACGGACACUGCUGUUGCCAAGUCAGUUGCAGCAUCAACGGUUCCCACCACACCUACGAAGGCUUCUAAGAUCAACGCCACUGCUGCUGCCACGGCGACGGCGGUGACCCCCACCCCUGCUCCAGCUCAAAGCGCCCCAAUAACCCCAAUGGGAAUGAAUCUGGAGAAGGUUGACCUGGGAAAGAUCAGCUCCAUUCUCAGCUCACUCACAUCUGCCAUGAAGAAUACAGCAGCUAGCCCAUCACCUCGGCCGUCUCCAGGAACACCCACCACUCCUUCUGGCCAAGCAGCAGCCUCCAAAGCAACAUCUUCGAGCCCUCACUUGGCCAACUUCCUGUCACGUGUUGAUAUCACACCUGAAGGCAUCCUUAAUGCUCUGUCGAAAACAAAGACACCAGUUUUGUCCUCUCUCCUGCAAAGUGUGACAAACGCCACCUCUGCUCCUCCCACCCGAACCUCCCCAGAAUCCUCAGCAGUUAAAACCCUGCUCACCCCAACCACCCCAAAAACAAAACCCACUCUGGGGAACAGCCUCAAACGAGACACACCUGGGAGAACCAGAGACUGGGAGAAAGGGAGACGGCUGUCCCCUCCUCCUCCACCACCCCCUCCUCGCCUCUCAGCUCCUUCUGUUUCUCCCCCCAGCCUAGAAUCAAAAAUCAACAGCUUUUUGCAGGGUAAUCCAGGUUUUAGUCUCGCUCUGGGUGAUGUCAGUCCCGAGGGGGUGGAUGGGACCCCAGUGAGAGACGAAGCUGCUGGCACCCCUACCCAGGACGAGAUCAUGGACACACCCGGGAGUGUGCCAGAAUCUUUAGGGUCAUCUGGAGGUCAUAACCUCUCACCAACAGCCUACCGCAGCGAACCCUGGGAUGCUGUGAUCACCCCAUCAGGAAGCAGCAGCAAUGGAGACUUGCCGAGCUCUUCCUCCUCUUCACGGCAUGGAGCUGGAAAAAAGAGUGGCACAAAAUUAAAGGAAGAUGAAGUGAUGAAUUUGAGGAAGCAGGUAUCCUCUUCCCCCAGUAACGACAUGAAGGGUAAGAAAGAUGGACAACAUGGCCAAUUAAGAAUGAUGGGAAACAACAGAGGGAUUGGAGAAAGAAGACAGUCUGCAGGAUCUCGUAAAGCCAGCAGUGGCUCAGAUGAUGGAGGUCUGAGUGGAAAAAGAGAGGGGAAAGCGGAACAGUCUCCAGGUGGGGAUGGGAGGGAGGGACAGUACCAUCGUAUUGAGACACUAGUGUCUCCUUACACUGAAGGGGCACCCAUCCAAACUCUAGGCUACUCAAACCGCCCCCUCGCUGGAGAGCGCAUCAAGACAGUAGAGGGCAUCCGUGUGAUUGGCCGAGAUUCUCGGGGAGGGGGAGGGGCUAGUGGUCGGCCAGGGGGAGCAAUGUGGUAUGAAGAGGAGGAAUACAUGGAAGCUCAGCCUCCUUCAAACCAUGCGAUCCGCUCUCCUCUUAACAUUGGCAAUGAGGACAUGACCCCCUCUAUGCCUCUGCCUCCCCCACAUCUCCUUCUCCCACAUCUCCACCCUCCUCCAUCCCAUCCUCACGCACAUCCUCCACCCCAAGCUCCCUUCCAAAUGCCCUACCACACGGAUAACAUCCAGGGUCCUCCCCCAUCACUCCUCCACCAGCAUCCUCCUCCAUCCCAUUUCUUUGGCCCCCCUCCACCAAUCCCUCGACCCCCUCCACCUCCCGUACCCCAGCGCCCUUCCCCUCCACCCACCCACCAUGCUGUGCCCUCAGCUGUCAUGGUUGGGGGAGUGUUGGUCCCUGUUGACCGCCCCCUUCCUCUUUCUCUCUCAGUCAGAUCUGACGGUGUAGAUCGCAGUGGAUUAGGGCCCAGAGGAAGCAAAAUGGGUCCUCCACCCCUCAUGGCAUCGUUGUUAGGCGAGCCCCCUAAGCUGCCCCGCUCUGGCACAGUCAAAGAGCCGUUUGUCCCCCGUCAUGCACCCCCUCUUCACCGCCCAGGUACCCCUGGUGUUCCCCUCCCCUUACUGGGCAGAGUGAAGGAGCCUCUGAAUCUACCUCUUCCGCCCCACUCUCCUACAUCCUCCACACCCUCUCCCUCCACGCCUAAUUCCCCCGCAGUCGACACUCUCCCUGCUCGCCUCCCGGCUCAGUCCGCUUCUCUCCAGAAGCCCCCCGCUAGUCCUCCUGCUCAGACCCGCAACCAAACCUCUAACCCCGUUCCCCUCCUGAACUUACCCAGUUCUCGACCCCUCAUGCUCUCAGGCCCCAUCGCACAGAGACCUCUGCUGCGGGGCCGAACCCCCUCUCGGCAGUUUAACCAAGAUCGCCCCAUGGGGGGAUUCCGAGGGGGCAAGCGGUCCGGUCCUCCUUUCACAGGUGGUCCCUUCCAUUCACAGAAGAGACCCUUCCUACCCCCACGCUACUGAAGUGGUCAUCUAACCCAUGCGGAGUGAGAAGUGCAAGCGCCCUGCACUGAAGUGCAGAGUGUGUGUUAGCCCUGCUGGUGUGCCCAGCUUUAUCUGAGCGAGUGCAAAUCUUUGAGAACCUCAGGGAUAAACAAGGCCACAAGAGGAGAGUUGAAGCUACAGAAACUCGGCUCAGCAUCCAGCUGG